GAGGGUUGCUGCGUUGUUGUCGCAACUGGAAUGUCUAUUCGCGAUUGAAACUGUAGCGGUACGGCAGCGUCUGCAGCAGGUUGAUCUAAAUAAGGUGCUUGGUCCAUUUCCGUUGGAAAAUGCUGUAAUAAUAAAAUUUUGGAAGUUUUAACCAAGGCCCCGCAGUCCACCAAUGGACACCAAAGGCUUACCAGCCGGAAGUAUCUCGAUGCCGGGUGCCGACUUCUGAACGGGUGUGCCACGGCAAACGGCAACGAAUGUAAGCAACGCCACGAUGAUGGGCAAACAACAAAUGAUUCCUCUCACGUGGGAGCGCAUGUUGAUGGACAGACAGCAGCAGCACUCUGGGUCGAAACGUUGUAACUGAAUGAUCACGUUUCUGAUUCGAUGCGGAACCGAACAUCCCGAUCGGGUCUCGAUUUAAACCGAUUGAUCUCCUAAUGGUGGGGAACCGGGGGUGCUAAACCGGUUAUACAUUUUGUCAAUGGGCAUGCGACCAAACAAAACACCGCCCGACGACUGAUGGCGGGGACUUAAACGGUUUUGUGGGCUAAAGUCUUCUGUCCGAGAAGAGAUACCAGUAGAACCAGUUUGAUAAGAUAAAAACAAUACAGACUGAACUUGACGUCACUGUCCCAUAUGCCUGAAUGCCAAUCUGCAUAGGAAUUGUUCCAUUACCGUGUGUGUGCUCCAAAAUUCGACGCCAAAAUAUAUGCGUUUCAAGAUCACUCGGAGGCCCUCGAACGAUGUUUUCACAGACGCAAGAUGAUUAGCAUCAAAUCUCAAUACAAGAUCAAAUCUUUGAUCCACUCCACGAAUGCGGAUGCAGUCAGUGUCCUCUUGAUUAAGGUUGAUCUAAACGAGAUGAACGAUCCGAACGCGGGCCAAAAACCAUCCGACUGACGAACAG